rnacentral:rRNA from 1 species
UUUACUGACGCUAAAGCUCGAAGGUGCGGGUAUCGAACAGGAUUAGAUACCCUGGUAGUCCGCACGGUAAACGAUGGAUGCCCGCUGUUGGCGAUAUACAGCCAGUGGCCAAGCGAAAGCGUUAAGCAUCCCACCUGGGGAGUACGCCGGCAACGGUGAAACUCAAAGGAAUUGACGGGGGCCCGCACAAGCGGAGGAACAUGUGGUUUAAUUCGAUGAUACGCGAGGAACCUUACCCGGGCUUGAACUGCAGCAGAACGAUAGAGAGAUCUUGAGGCCCUUCGGGGCUGCUGUGGAGGUGCUGCAUGGUUGUCGUCAGCUCGUGCCGUGAGGUGUCGGCUUAAGUGCCAUAACGAGCGCAACCCCUUUCGCCAGUUGCCAUCAGGUGAUGCUGGGCACUCCGGCGACACUGCCACCGCAAGGUGUGAGGAAGGUGGGGAUGACGUCAAAUCAGCACGGCCCUUACGUCCGGGGCUACACACGUGUUACAAUGGGGAGUACAGAGAGUCAGGCGUUGGCAACACUGCCUUAAUCAAUAAAGCUCUCCUCAGUUCGGAUUGGGGUCUGCAACCCGACCCCAUGAAGCUGGAUUCGCUAGUA